rnacentral:misc_RNA from 1 species
AAGUCGUAACAAGGUAACCGUAGGUGAACCUGCGGUUGGAUCAUUAACGAAAAAAAUUUCAAAAAAAAAAAGGAAAAUGGAAAGAAAAAGGGCAUUUAAACGGAGUUGUAUCCGUUUAAAUUAUUUUUUGUUUCCAAUUUUUUUUUUUGUAAUCCCCCCCCUGUGAAUGUUUUUAAUGUAAAAUAGUUUUUAUUUUAAAACUUGGAAAUGGUUUCUCGAAAGUUUUGACGUAAGUUUUGGCUUUGGAGAGCGCCUUUUUUGAGUUUUUUUUUUGAAAACCAAAACAAUAACCUAUAUGAAUCUUUUUUAUUUCGAGUAUAAUUUUUUAAUUAAAAUAACAAAAAAGUUUAAAAACAACUUUUGACAACGGAUCUCUUGGCUCUC